UAUUGACUUGUAAUUCCAAAGAAGUCGACUAAAAUCCAUAACAAUCAAAACAACUAAAAUUCUGAAGGCACUUUAAAAGGUUCAAUUAAGUCCAAUAAAAAACUUUCCGUUAUAAUUACACUAAAUUCUAUUGAAUUCAUCAUUUCAAUAACACUCCCCUUAGAUUCGAACCCAUAGCUAAUGGCAGAAGUAGCAUAUAUUUUAUGUUUCUUUCUUUUAU
rnacentral:lncRNA from 1 species